UACGUAGGGUGCAGGCGUUAAUCGGAAUUACUGGGCGUAAAGGCGUGCGCAGGCGGUUUGCUAAGACAGGUGUGAAAUCCCCGGGCUUAACCUGGGAACUGCGCUUGUAACUUGGCAAGCUGGAGUGUGGCAGAGGGGGGUGGAAUUCCGACGUGUAGCGUGAAAUGCGUAGAGAUGUGGAGGAACACCGAUGGCGAAGGCAGCCCCCUGGGCUAACACUGACGCUCAUGCACGAAAGCGUGGGGAGCAAACAGG
rnacentral:rRNA from 1 species